UACGGAGGAUGCAAGCGUUAUCCGGAUUUAUUGGGUUUAAAGGGUGCGUAGGCGGGAAAAUAAGUCAGUGGUGAAAUCCUACAGCUUAACUGUAGAAUUGCCGUUGAUACUGUUUUUCUUGAGUAUGGUCAAGGAAGGCGGAAUGUGUAAUGUAGCGGUGAAAUGCUUAGAUAUUACACAGAUCACCAAUUGCGAAGGCAGCUUUCUGGCCCAUUACUGACGCUGAGGCACGAAAGCGUGGGGAUCGAACAGGAUUAGAUACCCU
rnacentral:rRNA from 1 species